rnacentral:rRNA from 1 species
UACGUAGGGUGCAAGCGUUGUCCGGAAUUAUUGGGCGUAAAGAGCUCGUAGGCGGCCAGUUGCGUCUGCUGUGAAAUCCCGGGGCUCAACCCCGGGCGUGCAGUGGAUACGGGCUGGCUAGAGGCAGGCAGGGGAGAACGGAAUUCCCGGUGUAGCGGUGAAAUGCGCAGAUAUCAGGAGGAACACCAAUUGCGAAGGCAGCUCGCUGGGACGUUACUGACGCUGAGACGCGAAAGCGUGGGGAGCAAACAGG